GGGGGGGCAAGCGUUUGUUUCGGAAUUACUGGGCGUAAAGGGCUCGUAGGCGGCCAACUAAGUCGGACGUGAAAUCCCUCGGCUUAACCGAGGAACUGCGUCUGAUACUGGAUGGCUUGAGUCCGGGAGAGGGAUGCGGAAUUCCAGGUGUAGCGGUGAAAUGCGUAGAUAUCUGGAGGAACACCGGUGGCGAAGGCGGCAUCCUGGACCGGCACUGACGCUGAGGAGCGAAAGCCAGGGGAGCAAACGGGAUUAGAUACCCCGGGUAGUCCUGGCCCUAAACGAUGAAUGCUUGGUGUGGCGGGUAUCGAUCCCCUGCCGUGCCGAAGCUAACGCGAUAAGCAUUCCGCCUGGGGGAGUACGGUCGCAAGGCUG
rnacentral:rRNA from 1 species